AUCAUUUGCAACACACACGUGGUAGUGUAACACAAUACCACGUGCUUACUUUGGUGUUUUCCUUCACAAAUAAUGCACGUGUAAUUUAACGGUGCUUACUCGGAUUUCAACCCACGUUCAUCUGCUAAGAUCCAGUAAAUACGUCUCCUAUCAAAUAAUGCAUUCGGCAAUCUUGGAACAACGAAACUGAGAAUAAUAUGUGGAUCGGCGCCAUCUCAAUAAUAUGCACAUUGCAUCUGGGGACACGCUUAUUAUUGGUGCGAUAACCUUUGAUGCACCGUGUGUAAUCAAGCUAUGUAAAUUACUUUAGAAUUUCUUGGAAUAAGCCCUGAGUGAUUAAGUGAAGGCAGAACGAGAGCUAUUUGCAGUCACACUAUUCAAAACGUAUCAUCAAUUAUCACGCCUUAAACGUAUAUAAAUUUCUCUUUUAAACAAGUGUAAACAUUCAUUAACUGAUGUGAAGCGCAGACUUUCAAAUAAUGAGAACAAUACAUUGAAUAUAUUCUGUAAUAUUAAAUGAAAACUGUUAAUGUUGAGUGACAUCAAUUGAGUCAUUAAGAAAAUUUGAUGAUGACGCCCGACUUAGGCCAACCAUAUGCAGCUAGCCAACUGCGUACUACUUGUAAUAGUUCACAAUUGUAUGCACAAGCCACGGAGCACUCACAAUCCAAUAAGACAAACUCGUCACGACCGGAGAAAUUUCUGACGCUGGACCAAGGGCUUUAUGUGCUUUCGAAACGGAACAUACUGCCAACUUACAAACUCUGGACUGCUACUGAGAAUUUGUUGACAAAAAAACUGAAUAAGUUUUUGUUAGCCCAAUCUGGAAUUAAACACAGAAACGCGGAAUAAGAUAGCCAUUACGUGAACGAGGCUUAUAAUAUGUCUUGAAAUUAUUAAUAAAUUAAAAAUCAUAU